rnacentral:rRNA from 1 species
ACUGUACCAUUUUGAAUGACCCGUGUCAUCCCAUCAAGGAAGCUAAGGUCAGGCAGACCUGGUUGGUACUUGGGUGGGAGGCUGCCUGAGAGCGCUGGACACUAGAAGUU